rnacentral:rRNA from 1 species
GAUGAACGCUAGCGGCAGGCCUAACACAUGCAAGUCGAGGGGUAACUAGAGUGAUAGCAAUAUUACUUUGGCUAGACCGGCGCACGGGUGCGUAACACGUAUGCAACCUACCUUAUACUGGGGAAUAACUUCGAGAAAUCGGCGCUAAUACCCCAUAACAUUGCGAAGAGGCAUCUCUUUGCAAUUAAAGCUCCGGCGGUAUAAGAUGGGCAUGCGUCCAAUUAGCUAGUUGGUGAGGUAACGGCUCACCAAGGCUACGAUUGGUAGGGGUUCUGAGAGGAUGAUCACCAACACUGGGACUGAGACACGGACCAGAAUCCUACGGGAGGCAGCAGUGAGGAAUAUUGCGCAAUGGACGAAAGUCUGACGCAGCCAUGCCGCGUGCAGGAUGACGGCCCUAUGGGUUGUAAACUGCUUUUGUACGGGAAUAAACCCUUCUACGUGUAGGAGGCUGAAGGUACCGUAAGAAUAAGCACCGGCUAACUCCGUGCCAGCCGCCGCAGUAAGAC